UACGUAGGGGGCAAGCGUUGUCCGGAAUCACUGGGCGUAAAGCGCGCGCAGGCGGUCAUCUACGUCUGGGGUGAAAGCCCGGAGCUCAACUCCGGGAUUGCCUUGGAUACGGGAUGACUUGAGGAUCGGAGAGGCAAGGGGAAUUCCACGUGUAGCGGUGAAAUGCGUAGAGAUGUGGAGGAACACCUGUGGCGAAGGCGCCUUGCUGGCCGAUUUCUGACGCUGAGGCACGAAGGCCAGGGGAGCAAACGGG
rnacentral:rRNA from 1 species